UAUUAAUCGUUUAAAUGAAAGAUUAAUUUAAAGAUGAUAACUUACCCCCAGAUUAUAUUUGAUACGUAUAACUACCCUUAUCUUUCAUAGAAGUACAGUGAUGUAUAAAGUGACAUCGGUUUUUGGAAGAUAACAGUGUUUAAAAAUAUUAAUUGUUUGAAGUAUUAACAAGUAACAAUGACUAGUGCAUAUAGUAAAUAUAAUCGUUACGUGAAAUUAUAUUCCUUCGAUGGAUUAUUCCACGAAUUCUCUGCUGAUAAUGGCAUUAUGGAUGAAUGGUUAGAAGAUAUGAAAAAAAUGAUAUACAUUGGAAUUUUAAUUUUACAUUCUAAUCUAUUAUUCUUCCAUGACAUUGUUGGAUAACAAAAGAAGAUAACAUAGAAGAAUUAUUGAUAUCAUGUAAAAACAUGAUAGUCUCAGUUUCUAAAAUUUACGAUCACGUAUUUUUUAAGCGUGGAAACGAGCGAACUGAUUCAACGAACGUAAGAU